AAAUUGAAGAGUUUGAUCAUGGCUCAGAUUGAACGCUGGCGGCAGGCCUAACACAUGCAAGUCGGACGGUAGCACAGAGGAGCUUGCUCCUCGGGUGACGAGUGGCGGACGGGUGAGUAAUGUCUGGGGAUCUGCCCGAUAGAGGGGGAUAACCACUGGAAACGGUGGCUAAUACCGCAUAACGUCGCAAGACCAAAGAGGGGGACCUUCG
rnacentral:rRNA from 1 species